rnacentral:rRNA from 1 species
UUUAUGGAGAGUUUGAUCCUGGCUCAGGAUGAACGCUGGCGGCGUGCCUAAUACAUGCAAGUCGAGCGAACGGACGAGAAGCUUGCUUCUCUGAUGUUAGCGGCGGACGGGUGAGUAACACGUGGAUAACCUACCUAUAAGACUGGGAUAACUUCGGGAAACCGGAGCUAAUACCGGAUAAUAUUUUGAACCGCAUGGUUCAAAAGUGAAAGACGGUCUUGCUGUCACUUAUAGAUGGAUCCGCGCUGCAUUAGCUAGUUGGUAAGGUAACGGCUUACCAAGGCAACGAUGCAUAGCCGACCUGAGAGGGUGAUCGGCCACACUGGAACUGAGACACGGUCCAGACUCCUACGGGAGGCAGCAGUAGGGAAUCUUCCGCAAUGGGCGAAAGCCUGACGGAGCAACGCCGCGUGAGUGAUGAAGGUCUUCGGAUCGUAAAACUCUGUUAUUAGGGAAGAACAUAUGUGUAAGUAACUGUGCACAUCUUGACGGUACCUAAUCAGAAAGCCACGGCUAACUACGUGCCAGCAGCCGCGGUAAUACGUAGGUGGCAAGCGUUAUCCGGAAUUAUUGGGCGUAAAGCGCGCGUAGGCGGUUUUUUAAGUCUGAUGUGAAAGCCCACGGCUCAACCGUGGAGGGUCAUUGGAAACUGGAAAACUUGAGUGCAGAAGAGGAAAGUGGAAUUCCAUGUGUAGCGGUGAAAUGCGCAGAGAUAUGGAGGAACACCAGUGGCGAAGGCGACUUUCUGGUCUGUAACUGACGCUGAUGUGCGAAAGCGUGGGGAUCAAACAGGAUUAGAUACCCUGGUAGUCCACGCCGUAAACGAUGAGUGCUAAGUGUUAGGGGGUUUCCGCCCCUUAGUGCUGCAGCUAACGCAUUAAGCACUCCGCCUGGGGAGUACGACCGCAAGGUUGAAACUCAAAGGAAUUGACGGGGACCCGCACAAGCGGUGGAGCAUGUGGUUUAAUUCGAAGCAACGCGAAGAACCUUACCAAAUCUUGACAUCCUUUGACAACUCUAGAGAUAGAGCCUUCCCCUUCGGGGGACAAAGUGACAGGUGGUGCAUGGUUGUCGUCAGCUCGUGUCGUGAGAUGUUGGGUUAAGUCCCGCAACGAGCGCAACCCUUAAGCUUAGUUGCCAUCAUUAAGUUGGGCACUCUAAGUUGACUGCCGGUGACAAACCGGAGGAAGGUGGGGAUGACGUCAAAUCAUCAUGCCCCUUAUGAUUUGGGCUACACACGUGCUACAAUGGACAAUACAAAGGGCAGCGAAACCGCGAGGUCAAGCAAAUCCCAUAAAGUUGUUCUCAGUUCGGAUUGUAGUCUGCAACUCGACUACAUGAAGCUGGAAUCGCUAGUAAUCGUAGAUCAGCAUGCUACGGUGAAUAUGUUCCCGGGUCUUGUACACACCGCCCGUCACACCACGAGAGUUUGUAACACCCGAAGCCGGUGGAGUAACCUUUUAGGAGCUAGCCGUCGAAGGUGGGACAAAUGAUUGGGGUGAAGUCGUAACAAGGUAGCCGUAUCGGAAGGUGCGGCUGGAUCACCUCCUUUCU